rnacentral:rRNA from 1 species
AGAGUUUGAUCAUGGCUCAGAGCGAACGCUGGCGGCAGGCUUAACACAUGCAAGUCGAGCGGGCAUCCUUGUGGUGUCAGCGGCAGACGGGUGAGUAACGCGUGGGAACGUGCCCUUCGGUUCGGAAUAACUCAGGGAAACUUGAGCUAAUACCGGAUACGCCCUUCUGGGGAAAGGCUUGCUGCCGAAGGAUCGGCCCGCGUCUGAUUAGCUGGUUGGUGAGGUUACGGCUCACCAAGGCGACGAUCAGUAGCUGGUCUGAGAGGAUGAUCAGCCACACUGGGACUGAGACACGGCCCAGACUCCUACGGGAGGCAGCAGUGGGGAAUAUUGGACAAUGGGGGCAACCCUGAUCCAGCCAUGCCGCGUGAGUGAUGACGGCCUUAGGGUUGUAAAGCUCUUUUCUCCGGGACGAUAAUGACGGUACCGGAGGAAUAAGCCCCGGCUAACUUCGUGCUAGCCGCCGCGGUAAUUC